rnacentral:lncRNA from 1 species
AUGCCAGGAGAAACUGCCUCUACCUGCAAGAAAGGCGCACGAUGGCACUUGGGGAUGGGAGUCCUCCGCCGGCACCGGAUCACUGGAGGCAAACAUCGAAUUAAUUGGAUCUCAAUGACUGAGAAUACCAAUAAAAGGGUUAAACAGAUGCCCUCAUAUCUCUACCUUUCUUCUGAGAAAAAUGGCGAUCUACUGGGGCUUUAUGAGCAGCUCCUGAAAUACUGCAUUUGGCGUCUCCUUUUGCCACUCUCCACUAACCAGUCGCUCAGUAUCUCCUAG